CAAUAGCGUAUAUUAAAGUUGUUGCGGUAAAAGCUCGUAGUUGGAUUUCUGUGAAAAUUGUCCGGUCCAUACCACGUAUGCGCAUCUGGUUCAGUUUUGCAUCCUUUCGAAAGACGUUUCUGCGCUUGAUUGCGUGGAGCGGAGUUCGGAACUUUUACUUUGAGGAAAUUAGAGUGUUCGAAGCAGGCUAUCGCCCGAAUACGUUAGCAUGGAAUAAUAAUAUAGGAUCUCGGUUCUAUUUUGUUGGUUUCUAGAAUUGAGGUAAUGAUUAAUAGGGACAAUUGGGGGCGAUUCGUAUCAACACGUCAGAGGUGGAAUUCUCGGAUUGUGUUGCGACGAACUACUGCGAAAGCAUUUGCCAAGGAUGUUUUCAUUGAUCAAGAACGAAAGUAAGGGGAUCGAAGACGAUUAGAU
rnacentral:rRNA from 1 species